rnacentral:lncRNA from 1 species
GAACUCUGGUUGAAACUGGAACUCUGAGAAGGGUGGAGAGAGCCCCCAGGUGGGACUCUGGGACAGGGGGCGGGGCGAGGAGUGAGGGAGCAGGACUCUGGUGGGCAGGCGCCUACUUCUGGGCGGGGAUCAUGUCGUCAAUGGACUGGCCUUUCUCCAACUUCUUCUCCAUUUCCACCAUGAGCUUCACACCAUCCACC